rnacentral:lncRNA from 1 species
GCUGGGAAUAUAAUUUGUAUGACAGCCUCUUGGUAUAUGCUUUUGGAUAUUUUCCUUAGGAUUUGGAUAAAACUAUUAUAGUUUUUGAGAGUAGAUUCAAUGGCUACAAUUUCUUUGUCAAGCUUCUCCAAAAAUGCAUGCCAAUUUGUUUUAUUUAGAUUGAAGCAUGUUCAGAAAGAAACUUGCCUAAAACUAAUUGCUGCUGAAAAUUGCAGUAUUACAUGUCAGUACUGUGAGUGGGGAAUAUAUUUAAAAAAGUUUUGGUACAGCAUUUGGAGAUAUCUUCAGAGACAAAGGGCCAGACCUAAAUUGUAUCCCCCUUCUCCAUCUUCCAUUAUGAAUACACCUGGAAUACUCAUAUUACACAUGGAACUAAACUCCAUAUAACAUUUAAAUAUUAUUCAUCUAAUUGCAUUGAAUCAAAGUAAACACUGUGAAUCUUUCUAUAGAAAAUCUGAAUGCAUAUUAGAUGUUUUAUCUUGCACAUACAGAAUUUAUUCAAUUUUUCUUUUUUUUUUUUUUUUUUUUGAAGAAAUUAUUCAUUAAAUUAAAUUUUGUUUUUUUUAAAAUAAAAAUUGUUUAAAAUGAUUUAU